rnacentral:sRNA from 1 species
GCUGGGUGUGGUGGCAUACCUGUAAUCCCAGCAACUGGGGAGGCUGAGGCAGGCAAGAGUUCAAAGCCAGCCUCAG